rnacentral:rRNA from 1 species
AUUGAACGCUGGCGGCAGGCCUAACACGUGCAAGUCGAGCGGAUGAAGAGAGCUUGCUCUCUGAUUCAGCGGCGGACGGGUGAGUAAUGCCUAGGAAUCUGCCUGGUAGUGGGGGACAACGUUUCGAAAGGAACGCUAAUACCGCAUACGUCCUACGGGAGAAAGUGGGGAUCUUCGGACCUCACGCUAUCAGAUGAGCCUAGGUACGAUUAGCUAGUUGGUGAGGUAAAGGCUCACCAAGGCGACGAUCGUUAACUGGUCUGAGAGGAUGAUCAGUCACACUGGAACUGAGACACGGUCCAGACUCCUACGGGAGGCAGCAGUGGGGAAUAUUGGACAAUGGGCGAAAGCCUGAUCCAGCCAUGCCGCGUGUGUGAAGAAGGUCUUCGGAUUGUAAAGCACUUUAAGUUGGGAGGAAGGGCAGUAAGUUAAUACCUUGCUGUUUUGACGUUACCGACAGAAUAAGCACCGGCUAACUUCGUGCCAGCCGCCGCCGUAA